AGAGUUUGAUCCUGGCUCAGGAUGAACGCUAGCUACAGGCUUAACACAUGCAAGUCGAGGGGCAGCAUGUUGGUUGCUUGCAACCAACGAUGGCGACCGGCGCACGGGUGAGUAACGCGUAUCCAACCUACCCUUGUCCAUCGGAUAACCCGUCGAAAGGCGGCCUAACACGAUAUGCGGUUCACGGCAGGCAUCUAAGGUGAACGAAAUGUGAAGGAGAAGGAUGGGGAUGCGUCUGAUUAGCUUGUUGGCGGGGUAACGGCUCACCAAGGCUACGAUCAGUAGGGGUUCUGAGAGGAAGGUCCCCACAUUGGAACUGAGACACGGUCCAAAACUCCUACGGGAANCA
rnacentral:rRNA from 1 species